UUGUGUGAAUACAUAGCACAUUCGAGGUAGACGCAGAGAACUGAAACAUCUAAGUACCUGCAGGAAGAGAAAGAAAAUUCGAUUCCCUGAGUAGCGGCGAGCGAAACGGGAAAAGCCCAAACCAGCAAGCUUGCUUGUUGGGGUUGUAGGACUCCAAUAUGGUAGUUCUUUCAGAUAGUCGAAUGACUUGGAAAAGUCAGUCAAAGAGGGUAAAAACCCCGUAGACGAAAUGUGGAAGACACCUAGGAGGAUCCUGAGUACGGCGGAACACGAGAAAUUCCGUCGGAAUCCGGGAGGACCAUCUCCCAAGGCUAAAUACUCCCUAGUGACCGAUAGUGAACCAGUACCGUGAGGGAAAGGUGAAAAGCACCCCGGAAGGGGAGUGAAAUAGAACCUGAAACCGUGUGCCUACAACAAGUCAAAGCCCGUUAAUGGGUGAUGGCGUGCCUUUUGUAGAAUGAACCGGCGAGUUACGAUUGCAUGCGAGGUUAAGUUGAAGAGACGGAGCCGCAGCGAAAGCGAGUCUGAAUAGGGCGUUUGAGUAUGUAGUCGUAGACCCGAAACCAUGUGAUCUACCCAUGUCCAGGUUGAAGGUGCGGUAAAACGCACUGGAGGACCGAACCCACGUACGUUGAAAAGUGCGGGGAUGAGGUGUGGGUAGCGGAGAAAUUCCAAACGAACUUGGAGAUAGCUGGUUCUCUCCGAAAUAGCUUUAGGGCUAGCCUCGGAAUUGAGAAUGAUGGAGGUAGAGCACUGUUUGGACUAGGGGCCCAUCUCGGGUUACCGAAUUCAGAUAAACUCCGAAUGCCAUUCAUUCAUAUCCGGGAGUCAGACUGUGAGUGAUAAGAUCCAUAGUCGAAAGGGAAACAGCCCAGACCACCAGCUAAGGUCCCAAAAUAUAUGUUAAGUGGAAAAGGAUGUGGGGUUGCACAGACAACUAGGAUGUUGGCUUAGAAGCAGCCACCAUUUAAAGAGUGCGUAAUAGCUCACUAGUCGAG
rnacentral:rRNA from 1 species